rnacentral:rRNA from 1 species
AUUGAACGCUAGCGGUAUGCUUUACACAUGCGAGUCGAACGGCAGCGCGGACUUCGGUCUGGCGGCGAGUGGCGAACGGGUGAGUAAUGUAUCGGAACGUGCCCAGUAGCGGGGGAUAACUACGCGAAAGCGUAGCUAAUACCGCAUACGCCCUACGGGGGAAAGCAGGGGAUCGUAAGACCUUGCACUAUUGGAGCGGCCGAUAUCGGAUUAGCUAGUUGGUGAGGUAACGGCUCACCAAGGCGACGAUCCGUAGCUGGUUUGAGAGGACGACCAGCCACACUGGGACUGAGACACGGCCCAGACUCCCACGGGAGGCAGCAGUGGGGAAUUUUGGACAAUGGGGGCAACCCUGAUCCAGCCAUCCCGCGUGUGCGAUGAAGGCCUUCGGGUUGUAAAGCACUUUUGGCAGGAAAGAAACGUCGCGGGCUAAUACCCCGUGGAACUGACGGUACCUGCAGAAUAAGCACCGGCUAACUACGUG